rnacentral:lncRNA from 10 species
UGUGUGUGUUGUGUGUGUGACUGUAUACGUCUGUAUGAAGUGUGUGAGGGAUAGGUGUCUGUGAGGUGUGUGUUUCUGUGUAAGGCAUUUGUACGUGUGUGGUGUGUGAAGUGUGUGUUUAUGUGAGAUGUGUGUGUGAGUUGUGUGUGUGUGGUGUGUGUGGCAUGUUUGUGUGGAGCGUGUCUUUGUGUAGCAUGUGUGUAUAGUGUGAGGUGUGUGUGCAUGUGUGGGGUGUAUAGGGGGUGUCUGUAUGAGAUGUGUGCACGUGUGUCUGUGAGAGGUGUGUGUGUGCAUGUGUGAGGUAUAUGAAGUGUUUGUGUGAUGUGCGUGGUGUGUUUCUGUGUGGUAUUUGUGUGGUGUGUACAUGUGUGAUGCAUGGGGUGUGGGGUGUGAAGUGUGUAUGUGGUAUGUGGUAUGUGUGUGCAUGUAUCCAGUGAAUUAAAUUGGAGACUUUAUCCCAAGGUGAGAGCUCAGGCUGCACUGUCACGUGUAAAGAAAUCAUUUAUACCUUAACAACAAUCAUCUAAAAAUAUUGACAUCAGAAGGCAUGCAAACACUGAAAACCCUCCAGCACAGAGGCUAAGUACUCUGAAGGUGACUCGAUGGCUUGAUUUUGCUGUUAGAAACAAGGAGACACUAGUGUGAGUUUGUGUAGCAUGUGUAUGGUGUGUUUGUGUGUGAGGUGGGUGUGUUACAUGUCUGCAUGGUGUGUGUGGGGUGUGUGUAUAUAUAUGUGAGGUGUGUGGGUUUGUGUGUGGCGUGUGUGGUCUGGAUGUGUCUGUGUGUGGUUUGUGUGUGUGUGAGGUGUGUGUGUAUAUGUGAGAUGUGUAUGUGGUCUAUUUGUGUGUGUGGUGUGUGAGGUGUGUUUGUGGUGUGUGAGGUGUGUAUAGUGUGUGAGGUGUGUGGUGUAUGUUUGUGAGGUCUGUGUGAGGUGCAUUUGUGGUGUAUGUGUGAGGUGUGUUCGCAUACAUGUGUGUGGUAUGGGAGGUAUGUGUGUGGUGUGUGAGGUGUGUGUCUGUGUGAAGUAUGGGGUGUGUGAAGUGUGUGGUGUGUAUGUGUGAGGUGUAUAUGUGUGUGAAAUAUGUAUGUGGUGUGUUUGUAUGUGUAUGUGUUUGAGGGGUGUGUGUGUAUGUGUGUGAGGUGUGUGUGUGUGAGGGGUGAGGUGUGUGUGGUGUGUGUGCGAGGUGAGUAUAUGUGUGAAAUGUGUAUAUGGUGUGGUGUGUGUGUGAAGUGUAUGUGUGUGAGGUGUGUAUGUGUGUGAGGUGUGUAUGUGUGUGAAAUAUGUAUAUGGUGUAUUUGUAUGUGUAUAUAUGUGAGGUGUGUGGUGUGUGUGUGUUAUGUGUGUGAAAUGUGUAUAUGGUGUAUUUGUAUGUGUAUGUGUGUGAGUAGUGUGUGGUGUGUGUUAUGUGUGAAGUGUAUGUGAGGUGUGCUAUGUGUGUGAAAUGUGUAUAUGGUGUAUUUGUAUGUGUAUGUGUGUGAGUGGUGUGUGUGGUGUGUGGUGUGUGUGAGGUGUAUGUGAGGUGUGUAUGUGUGUGAAAUGUGUAUAUGUUGUGUUUGCAUGUCUGUGGAUGUGUGGUAUGUGUGAGGUGCCUGUGAGGGGUGUGCACACACCGGCACAGAUACACUGAGGAGAUGUCCCUCUUGGCUCAGCGGCGUGGACGUGUGCUAUGGGAUUGGAACAGUCGGGAGGAGGAAGGCGCUCGCCUUCUCUGUGCGCAUGUCCUUUGACUUUUUCUUACAGACUCCUGCUCUGAUGUGCUGAUCUCUGAGUCAUGUUUCUCUUUUCAUGCUAGAC